GGAUUGACACAUCGGUCGUGCCUUAAGGGGUAUGAACUGGUGUAGUCAAUUUCUCACCUUCUGGAGAACCGCGAUGCCCUUAAUUGGGUGUCACGGGGAACCAGGACCUUUACUUUGAAAAAUUAGAGUGUUUAAAGCAGGCAUUUUGCUUGAAUACAUUAGCAUGGAAUAAUAAAAUAGGACAUCCGAUUCUAUUUUGUUGGUUUCUAGGAUCGAUGUAAUGAUUAAUAGGGAUAGUUGGG
rnacentral:rRNA from 1 species